rnacentral:rRNA from 1 species
AGAGUUUGAUCCUGGCUCAGGAUAAACGUUGGCGGUGUGCUUUAUGCAUGCAAGUCGUACGAGGCUAUAGUUUUCGGAUUAUAGUUUAGUGGCAAAUGGCUGAGUAAUACAUAGGUAACCUGCCUGUGAGUGGUGGAUAACUUGCUGAAAGGCAAGCUAAUACAGCAUGUGGUGAGCAAGGAUUUCUUGUUUAUCAAAGCCUUCGGGCGCUCGCAGAGGGGCCUAUGCCUGAUUAGCUAGUUGGUGAGGUAACGGCUCACCAAGGCUUUGAUCAGUAGCUGGUCUGAGAGGAUGGUCAGCCAGAUGGGGACUGAGAUACGGCCCCAACUCCUACGGGAGGCAGCAGCAAGGAAUAUUGGGCAAUGGGCGAAAGCCUGACCCAGCGACACCGCGUGAGGGAUUAAGGCCUUCGGGUUGUAAACCUCUUUUCUCGAGGAAGAAGCUCUGACGGUACUCGAGGAAUAAGCCACGGCUAACUACGUGCCAGCAGCCGCGGUAAUACGUAGGUGGCAAACGUUGUCCGGAUUUAUUGGGCGUAAAGAGAGUGUAGGCGGCUUAUUAAGUCAAGUGUUAAAUCUUCUGACUCAAUCAGGAGCUGCAUUUGAUACUGGUAGGCUUGAGUGCAGCAGAGGAAAACGGAAUUCCCAGUGUAGCGGUGAAAUGCGUUGAUAUUGGGAAGAACACCAGAGGCGAAGGCGGUUUUCCAGGCUGUGUCUGACGCUGAGACUCGAAAGCGUGGGGAGCGAAGCGGAUUAGAUACCCGCGUAGUCCACGCCUUAAACGGUGGACAUUAGGUAUGGGAAGUAUCGACCCUUUCUGUGCCGUAGCUAACGCUUUAAAUGUCCCGCCUGGGAGUACGGUCGCAAGGCUAAAACUCAAAGGAAUUGACGGGGGUCCGCACAAGCAGCGAGCGUGUGGUUUAAUUCGAUGAUACACGAAGAACCUUACCAGGGUUUGACAUGUCAGAAGUAGGAAGCCGAAAGGUUUACGACCUGUAUCCAAUCAGGAACUGUCACAGGUGCUGCAUGGCUGUCGUCAGCUCGUGCCGUGAGGUGUUGGGUUAAGUCCCGCAACGAGCGCAACCCUUGUUCUAUGUUAAUUUCUCAUAGAAGACUGCCUUGUACAGCAAGGAGGAAGAGGAGGAUGACGUCAAGUCAGCAUGGCCUUUAUGCCCUGGGCUACACACACGCUACAAUGGGUAAUACAGAGGGUUGCCAAAGAGCGAUCUGGAGCUAAUCCCUUAAAAUUAUCCUCAGUUCAGAUUGUAGGCUGAAACCGCCUGCAUGAAGUCGGAGUUGCUAGUAAUCGCAGGUCAGCUAUACUGCGGUGAAUAUGUUCUCGGACCUUGUACACACCGCCCGUCACGUCGUGGAAGUUGGAAACACCUGAAGUCAAUGUGUUAACUUGCUUAGGUAAGAAAUAGUUGUUGAAGGUGGAGCUGAUAACUGUGGCGAAGUC